GACGAACGCUGGCGGCGUGCUUAACACAUGCAAGUCGAACGGAAAGGCCCUGCUUUUGUGGGGUGCUCGAGUGGCGAACGGGUGAGUAACACGUGAGUAACCUGCCCUUGACUUUGGGAUAACUUCAGGAAACUGGGGCUAAUACCGGAUAGGAGCUCCUGCUGCAUGGUGGGGGUUGGAAAGUUUCGGCGGUUGGGGAUGGACUCGCGGCUUAUCAGCUUGUUGGUGGGGUAGUGGCUUACCAAGGCUUUGACGGGUAGCCGGCCUGAGAGGGUGACCGGCCACAAUGGGACUGGGAGUCCGGCCAGACUUCUUCGGGGGGCAACAGGUGGGAAUAUUGCACAAUGGGCGGAAGCCUGAUGCAGCAACGCCGGGGGCGGGGUGACCGCCUUCCGGUUGGAAACCGCUUUCGCCUUUGACGAAGCCUGAGUGACGGUAAUGGGUUAAGGAGCACCCGCUUACCUCGUU
rnacentral:rRNA from 1 species